GAUGAACGCUGGCGGCGUGCCUAAUACAUGCAAGUCGAGCGAACGGACGAGAAGCUUGCUUCUCUGAUGUUAGCGGCGGACGGGUGAGUAACACGUGGAUAACCUCCCUAUCAGACUGGGAUAACUUCGGGAAACCGGAGCUAAUACCGGAUAAUAUUUUGAACCGCAUGGUUCAAAAGUGAAAGACGGUCUUGCUGUCACUUAUAGAUGGAUCCGCGCUGCAUUAGCUAGUUGGUAAGGUAACGGGUUACCAAGGCAACGAUGCAUAACCGACCGGAGAGGCUGAUCGGCCACCCUGGAACUUGGACACGGUCCAGACUCCUACGGGAGGCAGCAGUAGGGAAUCUUCCGCAGUGGGCGAAAGCCUGACGGAGCAGCGCCGCGUGAGUGAUGAAGGUCUUCGGAUCGUAAAACUCUGUUAUUAGGGAAGAACAUAUGUGUAAGUAACUGUGCACAUCUUGACGGUACCUAAUCAGAAAGCCACGGCUAACUACGUG
rnacentral:rRNA from 1 species